rnacentral:lncRNA from 1 species
UCUAUCAAGUCUGUGAUAGUUUUAAUCGUCUUUGAAAAAAUUAAAAUUUUGAUGCAAAAUUUAUUUAGAGUCUGUAUGUAAAAGAUAUUAACGAAAUGGAAAAUUUAAGAAAAAAUAAAUUCUAACAAAAAGGAAAGAAAAAAUAAGAAUGACGAUUACCUGAAAUUACGAGACUGCCUCUAGCUGAAAAAUUCAGUAGCCUUCAAAACC